AGCGAACGCUGGCGGCAGGCUUAACACAUGCAAGUCGAACGGGCUUCUUCGGAAGUCAGUGGCAGACGGUGAGGAACACGGGGGAACGUGCCCUUCGGUUCGGAAUUACUCAGGGAAACUUGAGCUAAUACCGGAUACGCCCUUUUGGGGAAAGGUUUUCUGCCGAAGGAUCGGCCCGCGUCUGAUUUGCUUGUUGGUGGGGUAACGGCCUACCAAGGCGACGAUCAGUAGAUGGCCUGAGAGGAUGAUCAGCCACACUGGGACUGGGACACCGCCCAGAAUCCUACGGGAGGCAGCAGUGGGGAAUAUAGGACAACGGGCGCAAGCCUGAUCCAGCCAUGCCGGGUGAGUGAUGAAGGCAUUAGGGUUGUAAAGCUCUUUUGUCCGGGACGAUAAUGACGGUACCGGAAGAAUAAGCCCCGGCUAACUUCGUG
rnacentral:rRNA from 1 species